rnacentral:siRNA from 1 species
UUCUACCAUCCGAUCAACAAG